GUGGCUGGAUUGCUUAUUUAAUAUACAUAAAUGCUGGUGUCGUAGGAGCCAGCAGCAUUCUGUUCCUGAUAUUUGGAAUUAGACUGGACUGGAAAUGGCCCAAAAAACUAUAUGCACAAAUAUUCAAGAUAAAAAUUUUCGCUGAUUUCCUGUGUUGUGUCAUAAUAAUGAUAAUGAGAGCCGGAAAUCCUGCUCUUCUCUAUUUCGCUGUAUUUAUUGCAGUUUUUUUGAUAAUUUACGAUACCUACUGUUUUUUCGUGCUCUACAAUUAUUCCAAGUGCGGUGAAUAUUAUUGGGGAGAAAAGUGACGUUGAACGUCUGCAGGCAAGCGAAGGUAAAAUAUUACUACAUAAGUACCCACCAGCUUAUUGGCUAUGCGCGGAGUGCGUGGUGGGGGGACUUCAAGCAACCAACAUCUUCUU